AGUGAUUAGUGCAGGUGGAGCAGACCUCGUGUCAUCAGAUCCGUGACCAGUGAUUAGUGCAGGUGGAGCAGACCUCGUGUUAUCAGAUCUGUGACCAGUGAUUAGUGCAGGUGGAGCAGACCUUGUGUUAUCAGAUCUGUGAUUAGUGCAGGUGGAGCAGACCUCGUGUUAUCAGAUCUGUGACCAGUGAUUAGUGCAGGUGGAGCAGACCUCGUGUUAUCAGAUCCGUGACCAGUGAUUAGUGCAGGUGGAGCAGACCUUGUGUUAUCAGAUCUGUGAUUAGUGCAGGUGGAGCAGACCUCGUGUUAUCAGAUCUGUGACCAGUGAUUAGUGCAGGUGGAGCAGACCUCGUGUUAUCAGAUCUGUGACCAGUGAUUAGUGCAGGUGGAGCAGACCUCGUGUUAUCAGAUCUGUGAUUAGUGCAGGUGGAGCAGACCUCGUGUUAUCAGAUCCGUGACCAGUGAUUAGUGCAGGUGGA